UUAUUUAGAAAUAUAAAGAUUAGAGUAGUAAUAGUUAUGGUCUUGAAACUCAAAAAAUUUGGCGGUAUUUUAGUCUAUUCAGAGGAACCUGUAAUGUAAUCGAUAAUCCACGAUGGAUCUUACUUAAUUUUGUAAUUUAAUUUGUAUAUCGCCGUUAUUUGAAAAUUUUAUAAGAAAAAUAAUUUUCUAAAAUUUUUAUUAAAAAAUAAAUCAGGUCAAGGUGCAGUUUAUGAUUAAGUUUUAUAUGGGUUACAAUAAAUUUAUUUAUACGGAUUAAAAAGUGAAAUAUUUUUAAGAAGGUGGAUUUGAUAGUAAAUUUUUAAAGAUAAAAAAAUUGAUU
rnacentral:rRNA from 1 species